rnacentral:rRNA from 1 species
AACGAACGCUGGCGGCAGGCUUAACACAUGCUAGUCGAGCGCCCCGCAAGGGGAGCGGCAGACGGGUGAGUAACGCGUGGGAAUCUACCCAUCUCUACGGAAUAACGCAUGGAAACGUGUGCUAAUACCGUAUACGUCCUUCGGGAGAAAGAUUUAUCGGAGAUGGAUGAGCCCGCGUUGGAUUAGCUAGUUGGUGGGGUAAAGGCCUACCAAGGCGACGAUCCAUAGUUGGUCUGAGAGGAUGAUCAGCCACACUGGGACUGAGACACGGCCCAGACUCCUACGGGAGGCAGCAGUGGGGAAUAUUGGACAAUGGGCGCAAGCCUGAUCCAGCCAUGCCGCGUGAGUGAUGAAGGCCCUAGGGUUGUAAAGCUCUUUCACCGGUGAAGAUAAUGACGGUAACCGGAGAAGAAGCCCCGGCUAACUUCGUGCCAGCCGCCGCGGUAACAC